UGUAAACCCACAGUAGCUAUUGAGAGUAACUGCCAAGAACAGAUAGGACUGCUGUACGCUCGCCUUAAGGUCUGACAUUACUUGGAAGGCAGAGAAAAACCUCAUUGAUUCAGGUCAGGACUACCUUUCCAUAACAGCUGACUGUAUGAAGAGAAGUCAAGGCAUUCUUGCAUUGCCGUGACAGAUUGCUCCUCAGGACUGCUCCAGUGCUUCUUCAUACCGGAGCGCCUGGGACACAUCCACAUUGAAAAUCCUUCCAGUCUCUCCUUUCUAUGGGGGAUCUGUCCUGGAAAGUGGAAUUUGCGUGAAGACUGAAGCAAAUUUGGAAGGUAGAUUAGGGAAUGAGAUCAGCCUGUAGUAGAUAUUGAGCAUUAAUAGAACUGAUCAAAAUAAAUGCUAUAAGUGAAUAUGAACGCAGUCAUCAGAAGCUAUCAUGCCAGUGUUGUAUGAACGAGCCUGCUCUUAACUGUACUUCUAACAUGAGAUGACAGAUAAAUCUCACCAGAACCUAGUUCAUGAGCAAGGCAUCUUUGUGAGAGUUAUGUGAGAUAAACUUCCUUCUGUCUCCUCUGCAGUUUCACAGCUGAAUUGAAAGAAAUAAAAGAGGCAUGGGCAGAUUGAGACCAAUGCAGAAUUGUGGGAUGUGUGCAUAACAUUGUAUAUUUUGUG